rnacentral:tRNA from 1 species
GUCUUGAUAGCUUAAUGGUAAGAGCGCCCUCCAAGCCGGUGGGAGACCCAGGUUCGAGUCCCGGUCAAGACC